rnacentral:rRNA from 1 species
UACGGAGGGUGCAAGCGUUGUCCGGAAUCAUUGGGUUUAAAGGGUCCGCAGGCGGUCAUAUAAGUCAGUGGUGAAAGCCUACAGCUCAACUGUAGAACUGCCAUUGAUACUGUAUGACUUGAAUUCGAUCGAAGUGGGCGGAAUAUGACAUGUAGCGGUGAAAUGCUUAGAUAUGUCAUAGAACACCGAUAGCGAAGGCAGCUCACUAGGUCUGGAUUGACGCUCAGGGACGAAAGCGUGGGGAGCAAACAGG